GAACUCUGGAGAAUCCCAGCAAAUGGGUGCCGAAGGGGCAAGGCCGUGGGGCCGAAACUCUCAGGCAAAAGGACAGAGCGC
rnacentral:ncRNA from 1 species